AUCGUCUCCUUAGAAACCAUCCCGACCAGUUCAGCUGUCAUGAUGCCUUCUUAAGUUUUGAACAAGAGGGCGUCAUAACUGUUGACCUCGAAGGGAACCUUACCUCAUCUGCUUCGC
rnacentral:precursor_RNA from 8 species